UCACCUGAGGGCGCUCCCCAGGCCUACAGAUAUGCACAGCAGCCUCAUCUUCCAUCACUCUCCUGGAACUCUAGACAAAUGGAAUUUUCUGUUCUCCCUACCUCCUGCCUCCAUGCCUCGGUGCAUGCUGUUCCAUCUUCCAGGAAUACCAUCUCUUACCCUAGGCAAAAUUAGGCAAUCAACAUGUCAACAUGUUGCUCUACAAUAUUCUCUGUCUGAAGACCAGAAAUUGUUUAUUAUAUAACUGUUACCGAAAACGCUGGGAUGAUAGACAAUGAAGUCUGCCUUCAAACACACAUGACUGUGAGUAGGCAGGAAUUGAUAUUGUUUGUUUUUGAAUGUGACUUUUCAUUGAAGUUGGGGAAUCUCAAGAAGAAAUCAAACUCUUUAAAAUGUGAAGUUUGGAGGUGAUUAUUUGGCUUGUUUUCUUUUCCUUUUUGCUUAAAUUUCCCCCUCCAUUUACAUCACUCUCUUCUUGAAUGAUCCCAUGUUAAUAACCUAGGAUGUAUUCUUCACUUCUUUGUGCUCUGAUAAUCCUAUAUAAGAGUAAAUAAUUUCAUAGACGUGUAAAUAUACACAGAGUAAGUUUGUCAUCAUUAGUUUUAAAACGAAGCUACAUUACACGAACUCUAUAUUUUGUUUUUCUCAUCCAAGAAUACUUUGUGAAAUCUAAGUAAACAGUUUUACCUCUGAUUUAUUCUUUUUAAUGACUACAUAAUACUAGAUGAUGUGAAAGGACCAUAUAUUAUUCAACUUUUCCCUUUGAAAGGUACUCAUUUUUGUUUCCAGUUUGGGGCCACUAAAAACAAAGCUCUAAAAGCAUCUUUGUACAUAAAUCCUCAUAUGCUAGCGUUUUUAUUUCUGUAAGAUAGAUUCCCAGGAAAGAGACUGCUGGGUUGAAGGAUAAAUACAUUUUUCAUUUUAAUAGAUGUGGCCAGAUUCCCUUCCAAAAGACUGAAGCAAUCCCAUUUCUGCCACAAAUAUGAGCACCCAUCUCCCUAUAUCCCCACCAGCAAUAAAUAUUUUCGCUCAUUACUUUUGGCAGCCUGAAGAAAAUAAAAUAACAAUAAAGUGUUUCUUUACUUUGCAUUCCCCUGACUACCUAUGAAUUUGUUCAUCUCUUCAUGUGCUUGUCAGCAUUUGUAUACGCUACCCCAUGAAUUGUCUAUUCAUAU
rnacentral:lncRNA from 1 species